GUUGACCUCGGAUCAGGUAGGAAUACCCGCUGAACUUAAGCAUAUCAAUAAGCGGAGGAAAAGAAACCAACAGGGAUUGCCCUAGUAACGGCGAGUGAAGCGGCAACAGCUCAAAUUUGAAAUCUGGCUUCGGCCCGAGUUGUAAUUUGUAGAGGAUGCUUUUGGUGCGGUGCCUUCUGAGUUCCCUGGAACGGGACGCCUUAGAGGGUGAGAGCCCCGUAAAGUUGGACACCAAGCCUAUGUAAAGCUCCUUCGACGAGUCGAGUAGUUUGGGAAUGCUGCUCAAAAUGGGAGGUAAAUUUCUUCUAAAGCUAAAUACCGGCCAGAGACCGAUAGCGCACAAGUAGAGUGAUCGAAAGAUGAAAAGCACUUUGAAAAGAGGGUUAAAAAGUACGUGAAAUUGUUGAAAGGGAAGCGCUUAUGACCAGACUUGUGCCCUGCGGAUCAUCCAGCCUUCUGGCUGGUGCACUUCGCUUGGUUCAGGCCAGCAUCGGUUUUCUGAGGGGGAUAAAAGCUUCAGGGACGUGGCUCCUCCGGGAGCGUUAUAACCUGUUGCAAAAUACCCCUCGGGAGACCGAGGUUCGCGCAUCUGCAAGGAUGCUGGCGUAAUGGUCAUCAGCGACCCGUCUUGAACACGGACC
rnacentral:rRNA from 2 species